rnacentral:rRNA from 1 species
UACGUAGGGGGCAAGCGUUGUCCGGAAUCAUUGGGCGUAAAGAGCGUGUAGGCGGUCCGGUAAGUCUGCUGUGAAAGUCCAGGGCUCAACCCUCGAAUGCCGGUGGAUACUGUCGGGCUAGAGUGCGGAAGAGGCGAGUGGAAUUCCUGGUGUAGCGGUGAAAUGCGCAGAUAUCAGGAAGAACACCAAUGGCGAAAGCAGCUUUCUGGGGACGGUACUGACGCUGAGACGCGAAAGCGUGGGGAGCGAACAGG